ensembl:lincRNA 2010300F17Rik RIKEN cDNA 2010300F17 gene
GAGACUCAGCAGGGCACCUGCCAAGGCCAGGCUCCCAGUCAGGUUGCUCUUGCUCGAGGGGAGCGCUGACCUGCCGACCACAGAUGGAGUGGGCUCAGCACAGUGGUGAGACCAGAAACGAGUUGAGAGCAGCUCUCUGCCCUUCAAAACAAAAGAGCCGGCAGAAGAGUGAAGAGGAGAGCAGAGUCUCAGAGACCAUAUGUGUCAUGCUGUGGAAGCCUGGGAGCUUAAUCAAAGCACCUACAGGUCCUGGGAUCCGACUGUCUUUUCCAGAUUUCAUCCCCUGGCUGGAUACCGAAGAAAGGGCUGCAGGGCUGCGGUUUAAAGCAUGAAUGGAAAUUUCGAGCCUUCUCUCCCACUACCACCCCCCAUGCAUUGCUCCAGCCCAGUCUGAACACCACGAGUUUUUAGGAUCGAACUGAACUGAAUUUCUGGGAUCAAUGUUUUCCCCAUAAAAUCUGAACUUCUCUUGGCCCAGCUGUUUGGAAAAAAAUUGGGAAGAGUGCUUUGAGGCUCCCAGGAGAUGUACAGACUUCUUCAACGCAGAAGUGUCUCUACCUUCAAACUGGGGACACAUACCUAUACAUAUCAUUGUAUAUAUCACUGGGGCAUCCAAACUACACAUGUUCUCCACUCCAUGACUCUGUAUACUAUGAAGGCUAAAGGUGAGACUUUAAUGGUCUUUUUGUUGUUGUUUGUUUUUGUUUGUUUGUUUGUUUGUUUGUUUUCGAGACAAGGUUUCUCUGUGUAGUCCUGGCUGUUCAGGAACUCUCUCUGUAGACCAGGCUGGUCUCGAACCCAGAAAUCUGCCUGCUUUUGCCUCCCCAGUGCUGGGUUUAAUGGUCUUAAUGGUACCGAAUUAUUACUUGAAUAAGUUCUAGAUUAAAAAAAAAACCCAAACCCAAACAAACAAACCAAGACCCCACAACAAAACUCCUCACAUGUUCUGCUUCACAUCACAUCUCAUCUGGAAGAAAUAAAUAUGGCAUGUUGCUUUUUUCCACUUUUGAUG